GCCUGCUGUGUCAGGAAUAGCAGAGGACUUCGAAUCUGGUGCAGGUAUUUGAUAAGAUUAAUCUUGCAGAGAUGCAUACCAAGAUGCUUGUCUGCCUGCUUCUGAUGGCUCUCAUUGGCACCAGCCUCUCAAGAUCUGUCUCCAAUGAUGAGAGCGAUGACUUAAACAGGAAAGGGAGGGAUCUUCCAAGACGAGACGACAAGAUUAGAAGCAUUCGUGGUCCCCAGAUCUGUACCUUUGGCGGCGACUCGCCUAAUGACUUCCCUGGGGAAUGAGGUCAGCCCCCUCCCUCCUGACCUUCCGUAAACAAAUGAAGAUGUGGCUUUUUGACCAAGGCUUUGGAAAUCGGUGACAUAAUAGAUAUGAAAGAUGUGCAACUGACCACUGGAACGGCCCAGACUAUGCUUAUGGAUUAUGGAUGGAUUUAAAUACUAUAAUUGUUUUAAUGGUACGGUUAUUUUAAUUGUCCUGUUUUUAAAGGCAUUGCCUAUAUUGUAAAGCCGCCUUGAGUCCCCUCCGGGAUUGAGAAAGGCGGGAUAAAAGAGUCGCAAAUAAAUAAAUAAAUAAAUAAUCAAUUCUGGUGGAAGCAUAGAUUUUUGACACUUCUAAAACUCUGAAGAAGCGGAGAUGUCUGAGAGAUCUUCUAC
rnacentral:lncRNA from 11 species